rnacentral:lncRNA from 1 species
CUAACACGUCACAAUGUCAGGACAUAAUUCAACCUAAUUACUGUAUAUUUGCUGUUUACAUCCUUUGGAUAUUUGAAGACGUUUACCAUGGUUGCUCUGCUUCCCUUUUCUGCAGGCAACCCACAGAAACACAAGAGAUCUCCUUGAGAAUCCUGAUCCCAACAGACUUCCAGCCUUUUUCUCAGAGAGUAGAGCACAGCUGGUUCAGGCAAAGUCCAAAGUUCAAGCAAGUUUACCAGAGCCCAAGACCACUGUGAAGAUGCAAUAUCAAAAAGAAUUAAAAGCUGCAGUACAUUAUGUGCAUUACAGUCACUGUAGCCUGACGCAUCAUUUUUCUUCUGCCUUUUUAACAUUGCAAACUAAAAAAGAGUGCAGUGUUAAAAAGCUCAGAGUUAUUGAAAACUGCAACGUGGGGUUUGUUUAGAAGGUUUUGGAAUUGUGCAUCCACA